rnacentral:lncRNA from 1 species
CGGCUUCCAGGCCUCCCCUCCGCAGCCUCCGAUGGCGGAGGGGACGACCCCGUUCUGGGACACUUCGUGUUGUACUGUCCCCAAACCCGUUCCCCUGGCCUUACCUGCCCGAGCGUGUUUACAUUCCCAGUAUCCCACUGCAAAGUCAGCUCUUAGUAGGCAGCCGGCAUCUUCGUUCCAUCUCGGAGUGUCGAGUGGGCGGGGAGAUGAGGGAAAAAAGAGCCCAAGAGAGAGAACCCGGGAGAUUUUUGGAGAGAGAGUAAGGGCAAAAUAGAGGAUGAGAAGUGGGAGGUCCUUUGCAGUUGGAAAAACAGUAACAGUGGAAGAGAGGAACCUGGGCAAGAAGCAGUGGGAUCAGCAGAGACAUGGAGGAGGGGGCCUUGCCCAGUAGCAGCAGCGGGGGGCAGCAGAAGGGUAAAUGCCAUAUUCAUUCGAUUUUUAGCCUCCACAUUACUUUCCCUUUUAAAUUUAUUGUGUGAGGUUCAGAUUAGAGUCCUCAAUGCUUUCCCAAUCUUUAUUACAUAUUGAAAAUAUUAUUUGGUACUCUGUAACUUUACACCAAUUUAAUGUGCACUCAGGGUAUUGAUAAUUUUUAAUAUUAAGUCAGACCCAGUUUAAUCAGUGUAAUAGGUUACAGCUUCCCUUCUUCACUUAUGUGAUCUUUUGACUUAGCUGGUUGUGAGCUAAGGUCUCCAACCAAGGGUGUGUUCUCUUCAAGUUUCCUUUGUCCUUUUUCUACAAAUGUGGAGCCAUGCGCUGGAUUGUCCAGCCCUUCUUGUUCCUAGCCUCUGGGGGGACAUGGGCAGGUCAUUCUCUGGUGCUGCUGAGGAUUGAGACAAUCUCUCGGUGUCUCAGUGUCUGCGGCACCUUCUCAGUGGCGUCCAGUCCAGCACCAGCCUCUCCUGGACAUCCAAGGCAGGCCUAGAAAGCCUUCCAUGAGAUUCCCAUUUGGGGCAGUGCCAUUUCUCAGGCUCCUGAACUACCCUAAGAAAUUCUGCAGAGGGGUUAAGUCACGUAGACACCCUCUCCAAACUUUCCAGGCAGACACUACUGGCUCUUGGAUCCUCAUGGCCACUAGGAACAUUUCAAGAAAGACAGGGAGAGCAUGGCGAAGUUCACUGCUGGUCCAAGAAAAAGAAGCUAAAAUAGACGAUGCAGGUGGUCUAAUGGACUUGGAAAGACACAGUAAAAGUGAAAGGGAGUGAGUGAAUAUAUUUUGGUAUUCAAGUUUUACUACAAUGCAUAUGAUACAAUAUCCAUUUUUCCUCUUCAAAUGUUUUUUCAUAUGGUACAACUUCAAUGAGCUUGUUUUGGUAUUUUUUUAAUGGAAAUAAAAAUAUGAAAUUGGGGGCGCCUGGGUGGCUC